UAAUGGCCACAUUCAUCAUUUGAGAUAAAUUUCUUGCAGUAAUACUUAUAGGAUAGAAUCCACAACAUGGACGGUUUAGAUCAACAGACCACUUAACAUGUAGCUGAAGUUGAGGGGCGACACACGGUGGAAUUUGAAUCGCGACAGAAACAAAACGAGUAUGGUUGCGGACUGGAAUCUCCUGAUGAAUGGAUUGGAUGGACCACAAACAGUUGGAAAGGUUUUAUUCGGUGGGCCUCACCUAAGUGUUGCAUGUGGUGUGGCCCAGCUAGUUUUUCAUUCCUGCUGAUUUUUAGCCCAUGGAAAUGGAAGUUCGCAUCUAAUGGAGUGGGUGGAUCAGACGCAGUCUAUGGGCCACACAACAGCCCGUACAAUCACAAGUUGUAGGAGCACCACUACCACAUGGGCGCCAGCUCAUAUGUAACUAUAACACGACUAGCCAUCUGAACUAGGGAUGCACGGUCGGAGCUGGAGCCUGGGGGAGAAUUAUUUACUAUUCUGGCAGAGUGCGCGGACGCCCGAUUGCCUGCAGCGCCUGUCUCCGGGAAUAUCCCUGGAGCGGCCAUGCUCCGUGGGCCCAACUGACGUAUGUAUUUUAUUCACCUGUUACAUCCGUUUUUUCAGCU